UUCAUCAGCCAUAGCACCCUGAAUGUGCCUAAUCUGGUUUGAUCUUGGAAGCAAAGCAGGGUCAGGCUUACUUAGUACCUGGAUGGGAGACUACCCUGGAAUACUGGGUGCUAUAGGCU
rnacentral:rRNA from 1 species